GUGGGGAAUAUUGCACAAUGGGGGAAACCCUGAUGCAGCCAUGCCGCGUGUGUGAAGAAGGCCUUCGGGUUGUAAAGCACUUUCAGCGAGGAGGAAAGGUUGUUGGCUAAUACCCAACAGCUGUGACGUUACUCGCAGAAGAAGCACCGGCUAACUCCGUGCCAGCAGCCGCGGUAAUACGGAGGGUGCAAGCGUUAAUCGGAAUUACUGGGCGUAAAGCGCACGCAGGCGGUUAGAUAAGCUAGAUGUGAAAGCCCCGAGCUCAACUUGGGAACUGCAUUUAGAACUGUCUGACUAGAGUCUUGUAGAGGGGGGUAGAAUUCCAGGUGUAGCGGUGAAAUGCGUAGAGAUCUGGAGGAAUACCGGUGGCGAAGGCGGCCCCCUGGACAAAGACUGACGCUCAGGUGCGAAAGCGUGGGGAGCAAACAGGAUUAGAAACCCCUGUAGUCC
rnacentral:rRNA from 1 species